rnacentral:misc_RNA from 1 species
GAGAAUUAUAACCAGAAUUUGCAUUAUAUCCAUAACUGCCGCACUCUAAAGCUAUACGCAGUAUACCACCUUGCAUUUCUCUGGCUAGGAUACUUGUGGGCACUGCAAAAUCCAGGAGGAGAAUUGGCUUGGUAGAUUUGGUGUUUGUUUGGAUACAGAAGCUAACUUUGCUACAGCGAUAGCCAAAGAUAGUGCCUGUGAUUGUAGAAGAAGUGAAUAAGUUGGGUUUUGGAUGAUAAUUGUAAUUUUGAAUGGGU